UCUCUCUUUCUCUUAUUUGAUAGGUUUUAGUGGGAGAAAUCCCUCCAUAAUUUCCGGCCUUCCUCAAGCCUCUUCUUCUUGCUUCAUUUAUAACCAGGUAGUUUAGAUUGAUUCUACAGUUUUGAAGGUUUUAUUCAUAUUUGAUUGAUCUUAGUUUGGAGAGUGUUCGAUUGAGAGUUUUUUGAAUUGUAUUGAUUGAUUUUUCUGUGCAAUUUCUGAUUUUUCUCUGUAAUUUAUUGGAUCCUACAUUAGUCAAUGAGAUAAUCAUUUUGGUAGGAUAAAUUGAAAAUUUAAAAAUGGAAAACUAUUUCAAAUUUUUGUGGAGGACGUGAUGGCAUUUGAAGUGUUUGAUGGAUUUCCAAAGGUAAGUAUAAAAAUUGGCAUCCCAAUAUUGCGUAGGAAAAAUCCAGUUUUUGGGCUACAAAAAUUGAAAAAGUUAACAAUAGAUUAGAAAAUCAUUUGGGCUAGAAGUUCUCUCUCAAAAUUGUAAAAGUUAGCCAUAGAUUUAUUGGCUACAAGGGUUAUCAUAAGUUCUCUGUUGAACAUGCUUAAACGAUUUUAUUUGGGGCUUGCAUUCUUUCUCCCAUUGGCAACUUUUGACAAUCUUGUUGUCCUGUGUUUUUGUGCGUUAAGAGGUACAAUUCUCUUAGCCUAAAUUUAGAUCUAAGUAGGAGUUUCAUGUUGAUUCAAAUUUCACAAUAAUUCUCUCUCAUUCCUGAAAAUGCAAUUGUUUAGUUUCUUCCCAUUCUAUGCUGUAAUUUAUUGCUUUCUCCUUAUUAGAUUCAGCUGUUAUAAUUAUGAUUAUUUGGUUCAGGUAUAAAGCAAAUGGCAUCAGGUUGUAUGCAAUCCACUCAAAAUAAAAAGAUGCAGGCUGUAUGCCAUUGUACAAGCUUGUCUGUUGAUUACAGAGAGUAUGGUUUUUGUGUAAACUUGGUGACGGUUUGUUGCAAUUAUGCAAAUCUGUCUUGAUCUGCAGCAAGAGCUUGUCUUCUUGAUGACAUUGGCCAUGAUAUUUGAUUGUUGAAAAAACAUUAAAAAAUGCAAGAAAUUAAUCUCACUUGUACGUAA